rnacentral:miRNA from 1 species
UGUACCAUGCUGGUAACCAGUG